UCCACAACUCGUGGCGCAGUCAUAAAAUGGCGAGCUCUUUAGUCCUAGAAAACGGAAAUGUUCUGUUUCGUUCAGCCAUUCCUAUGGGGGGAAAUUAAUUGAGUUAGUCUGACCCAGAUCCGGUUAGUUCUGAAGGAUUCGUUGCUAUAGAAAUGCACCUGGCUGAAAAGUGAGCCACUUUGGUAUGACCAGUUAUGCCGAGUUGACCAAAGUUACCUCGCUAACUCAAACCUGCUUGGUAAGAAUACCCCUCACAUUCUACUGGUCAACUAAUCAUCAAGCCCUUGACCAGUUUGUCUGUUAAUGUAGUAAGUUGUUACAUUGUCCAGUGGUUAUAAUGUUAUCAAGUGACUAACAACUUGUUGAUGCAUAAUGAAACAACUUCAAUCGAUCAUGUAUAUAACCUCCGUCCUUCUCCUCGCCCCAACCACAGUCACUCACGAAGCAUCGUUACCAAUCGCUCCACAAAAGCCGCGGCACUUGCAGAGAAAGGGGAACAACUACUUCAGGGUCUAUCGGCCACAAAAUACCUUCCCAAAGUCACUGUCUUUAUUAUUUAUUUAAUUAAUUUCAGGUGGCAUGGACACGUUGCUGCAUGCACAUUAACCACAACCUUGUUGGUAACCUGACAUGAAUAUACAUUAGAUAACAUAAUAGUUUGUUAGAUUAAGUAUAAAUCACUCACUGUUGUGCAGCGUGCGCUUGGUGAUCUAAUUACAGUAUGGAAUUCACAACUAAAUGUUUGUCAACUAGAUAUCUUAGAACUAUUAAGUUAACUGUCUAAAAUGUGCUAAAUGAUUUGCAGUUGUAUUUCUAAUUUAGGAGCUAGUUAGCUAUCUCGGUAAGUGGUUAAUAAUCGAUCAAAUUGUAGACUUAAUCGAUCAAAUCUGUAUUCAAUAGAGCAAGUAAACAAAACAUGCACCAUGUUCCCUCUUGCUUAACUCUCAACAGUGUAACGUUGUUCCAGGAUGUGCCUCUUCUUCUUUGCACCAAUGAUUAACUUCAACCCAAUUCCAAAGACUGGUGACAUCCUGUGGAAGUAGUAGGAACUGUAAAUGGUCGCUAUCAAAUUUCCCUUGACAAAGACAACUGAGGGAACGGUCAGAGGCAAAAAACAACAUUCUGACAUUCCACUGUGAUGCUGCUGGGUGUGGAGCUAGCAAAGGGGUAUCUUCCAUUGCUCUGACUGGGAUAGCUGACAAUGAAGACCGAUGAAGCUCUGGGAGCAGUAGGUCAUCCUACUAACAGGACAAACCAAAGGAGGCGCAGUAUCAUAUUGGAUCCCCCUUACAUGAGUUGGGAGCAGACUGAGAUCAGUCAGAGUGAUGAACCUGGGGGGCCCCUCGGCACCGUGAUGCAGUGGAGGACGAUGCUGACAACGUCGAUGAUUAUCAACUUUAAUGUGAUGUUCGACCAGGUUCUACAUUGGAUAGACAAUUUAUUUAAGAAAAUGAGGGGAGAGGAGAUGAGAAGCUAGAGAAUGUAUUGAUUUGGAGCCCUGCCCCGCUGUAGUGAUUCGCUAAGAUGAAAUAAUGAAAAAAGUCAAAGAAAACAAAAACAUGCACAGUAUAUUGCAAUGCACCGUCUGUCUGGAACCAACUGGACCCUGAUGAGCUUCUACCCCCAAACCAGAAGACUGCUAAAUAGUUAAGACUAUAUACACGGCGCGUGUGUGUGUGUGUGUGUGUGUAUAUAUAUAUAUAUAUAUAUAUACUGUCAAAACACACACUUGCACUCAUCACAUACGCUACUGUGUAUAUAGCUACUUUAUCGUUACUCAUUGUGUAUUUAUUUAUUCCUUGUGUUAGUAUUUUUCUAUUAUGUUUUAUCCGUUACACUGUUGGGGUGGACCUGUAAGCAUUGGAGAUUGAGGUUCAGAGAACAGCGAGGCAGACUGGUAAACAAUGAGGGGAAAACAACAGAAAAGGGAAUGAUGAGGGAAAAGAGUGACAGAUCACAUGGAGAAACCAACAUUGUUAUUUUUGUGCAAAUAGAUUGAUGUGGCGUUAUUGUAUAUUGUUGUAGUAGAUAUACACUGCUCAAAAAAAAUAAAGGGAACACUUAAACAA